rnacentral:rRNA from 1 species
GACAGAGGAUGCAAGCGUUAUCCGGAAUGAUUGGGCGUAAAGCGUCUGUAGGUGGCUUUUUAAGUCCGCCGUCAAAUCCCAGGGCUCAACCCUGGACAGGCGGUGGAAACUACCAAGCUGGAGUACGGGUAGGGGCAGAGGGAAUUUCCGGUGGAGCGGUGAAAUGCGUAGAGAUCGGAAAGAACACCACGGCGAAAGCAUCUGCUGGGCCACACUGACAUGAGAGACGAAAGCUAGGGGGGAGCGAAAUGGGG